rnacentral:lncRNA from 1 species
UUUCGUAAGGGUCAUGGAUAGUGCAGAAAUAGCGUUACUUGAGGAUGACUUAUUGUUCUGGUAGGGUUAGGGCUAGGGUUAGGGUUAGGGUCAGGGUGAUAGAUAGCAUUGAAAUUGAAAUGCCUGUGUCUUCCAGUGUGGGUUGGAAAGUUAGUAUUAGCGUAAGUUCGUGGGGAGGGGGAGGGAUAAUGUAAAAUGUCAAGCACCUGGGUAUUGUGAUUUGGUCCUGACUCUCAGGGUUAGGGUUAGGGUUAGGGGUUAGGGUUAGGGUUAGGAGUAGGUUCAGGUUUAGGGUACCAAUUCAUGUACCUGACGUUUGGAGUGUGGGUAUGAUUGUUAGGAUUAGGGUUCUUCUUUUGGUAAGGGUCAUGGAUAGUGCAGAAAUAGCGGUACUUGAGGAUGACUUAUUGUUCUGGUAGGGUUAGGGCUAGGGUUAGGGUUAGGGUCAGGGUGAUGGAUAGCAUUGAAAUUGAAAUGCCUGUGUCUUCCAGUGUGGGUUGGAAAUUUAGUAUUGCCGUCAGUUUGUGGGAAAGCGGAGGGAUAAGGUAAAAUGUCAAGCACCUGGGUAUUGUGUUUUGGUCCUGCGCCUUAGGGUUAGGGUUAGGGUUAGGAGUAGGUUGAGGUUUAGGGUUCCAAUUCAUGUACCUGACGUUUGGAGUGUGGGUAUGAUUGUUAGGGUUAGGGUGCUUCUUUUCGUAAGGGUCAUGGAUAGUGCAGAAAUAGCGGUACUUGAGGAUGACUUAUUGUUCUGGUAGGGUUAGGGCUAGGGUUAGGGUUAGGGUCAGGGUGAUAGAUAGCAUUGAAAUUGAAAUGCCUGUGUCUUCCAGUGUGGGUUGGAAACUUAGUAUUAGCAUGAUUUCAUGGGGACGGGGAGGGAUAAUGUCACAUGUCAAGCACCUGGGGAGUUUGAUUUGGUCCUGAGGCUUAGGGUUAGGGUUAGGGUUAGGAGUAGGUUUAGGUUUAGGGUUCCAAUUCAUGUACCUGAUGUUUGGAGUGUGGGUAUGAUUGUUAGGGUUAGGGUUCUUCUUUUCGUAAGGGUCAUGGAUAGUGCGGAAAUAGCGGUACCUGAGGAUGACUUAUUGUUCU